GGGUCCUCAUACCAUCCAGAACAUAAUCCAGUCUGAUUGCAGUAUCAUCUUUGUCCCAGCUGAAGCACAGGCUGAGUCAAAGCUCAAGAAGUGAGGGUGGGACUAGCACUUCUCUGUGCUCCCUCCUGUUCUGUCAGACUGCAGCAUGAAAACAGAGAGGAAAGGGUUACAGAGCAGCCUGCAAUGAUUGGAUGAAGAGACCCAGCACAGCAGACUCAGGAAGGAAGAAAAUGCAUGGUGUUUCAAAUUGGACUGGAUCAUGUAAGACGGUGGUCAACACUGGCAAGACAUCCAUACCCUGAAAACAUAAAAUAGGGUCAUGCUUUGUUCAUUCUCAGGUGGAGCGCACCCUCACAGCAGGCAAAUUGCUUACCUUGGGAAUUUUGUAUCCCUGGAGGGUCACAUCUUUGGUAGCACAGCGGAUACAACCCAAAGGAAGGACAUCACUUAUUCUCUGGAUUUCAUGGAUUACAGCA